GACGAACGCUGGCGGCGUGCCUAACACAUGCAAGUCGAACGGAGAAUUUUAUUUCGGUAGAAUUCUUAGUGGCGAACGGGUGAGUAACGCGUAGGCAACCUACCCUUUAGACGGGGACAACAUUCCGAAAGGAGUGCUAAUACCGGAUGUGAUCAUCUUGCCGCAUGGCAGGAUGAAGAAAGAUGGCCUCUACAAGUAAGCUAUCGCUAAAGGAUGGGCCUGCGUCUGAUUAGCUAGUUGGUAGUGUAACGGACUACCAAGGCGAUGAUCAGUAGCCGGUCUGAGAGGAUGAACGGCCACAUUGGGACUGAGACACGGCCCAAACUCCUACGGAGGCAGCAGUGGGGAAUCUUCCGCAAUGGACGAAAGUCUGACGGAGCAACGCCGCGUGAGUGAUGAAGGAUUCGGUCUGUAAAGCUCUGUGUUUAUGACGAACGUGCAGUGAGAAAAAAUGACGGUACCUGACUAAGAAGCCCGGCUAACUACGUGCCAGC
rnacentral:rRNA from 1 species